rnacentral:lncRNA from 1 species
AUUUUAGUGGUUUGAGAAAAAAUUGCAUAUUCGUGAAUAUGUAAUUUGGUGGUUUUGACACAUUCUGCAUACAAUCCCUUAGACAAUUUGUAAUAUGUUGAACAUUUUAAGUCGUGGUUCUCCUGUACCCACAGGAUCUUCCGGUAGAAUUUUGACACCUACACCAGUAAGCAGGAGUUCACACCAAACAUACAUGGGGAAAAUACUUAUAUUAUUCAA